rnacentral:rRNA from 1 species
CCCUUAGAUGUCCUGGGCCGCACGCGCGCUACACUGAUGCAUUCAACGAGUUUUACCUUGGCCGAGAGGCCUGGGCAAUCUUUUAAACCUGCAUCGUGAUAGGGAUAGAUUAUUGCAAUUAUUAAUCUUGAGCGAGGAAUUCCUAGUAAACGCAGAUCAUCAAUCUGCAUUGAUUACGUCCCUGCCCUUUGUACACACCGCCCGUCGCACCUACCGAUUGAAUGGUCCGGUGAAGCCUCGGGAUUGUGGCCAGUUCACUUUAUUGGGAGUUGGCUGCGAGAACUUGUCUAAACCUUAUCAUUUAGAGGAAGGUGAAGUCGUAACA